rnacentral:rRNA from 1 species
CGGAGGGAGCUAGCGUUGUUCGGAUAUACUGGGCGUAAAGCGCACGUAGGCGGCGCCGUAAGUCAGGGGUGAAAUCCCGGAGCUCAACUCCGGAACUGCCUCUGAAACUGCAGUGCUAGAAUCUUGGAGAGGCGAGUGGAAUUCCGAGUGUAGAGGUGAAAUUCGUAGAUAUUCGGAAGAACACCAGUGGCGAAGGCGACUCGCUGGACAAGUAUUGACGCUGAGGUGCGAAAGCGUGGGAGCAAACAGGAUU